AUCGCUUCUUGGCCUUUUGGCUAAGAUCAAGUGAAGUUUUACAGGUAUAUGUAAAAUCGUUCUGGAAUUCAUUAAGCUAAUUUUCAUCUUUCAGAAAGAGGUCUGUUUGGCAAGAGUGUUAAUAAGACUUUUCAUCU
ensembl:snRNA U2 U2 spliceosomal RNA